AUAAAUCAAACAUGUAGCGCGCAAAGAUUCAAAAUCUGCAUGAACUCGACAGAGUUAUAAUUCAAAACACUUUUUCAAGUAAAGAUAUCGAAAUAUCUCAUAGGACAGCAUCACAACUUCUUAAGUAACAAUGAAUAACAAUCCCAUGAUAUAAUCAGAAGUAUAGCACUCAAAUUCCUCAAGCCCACAAAUAAACACAAGCAUUUGAAAUAAAAAAUAGAGAAUUAGACUAGCAGAAAUUGCAGAGUAAAGAAUUGUACCAAAUGAUUGCAGGCAAUGGCGGCGGCCCAGAAUACCCAGAAACCCAUUGAGCUCUCUCUGAGAUGAUCAAGAACAAUAUACCGUUUGCCUCCGUUUCCUCAGCUUUCUUUGUGUAUAUAAAUUUUCCGAGAAAAUUAGUGAGAUCAGAGAGGCCAAGUCCCUCCCCAAGUCCCACCUAUCACGCCAUUAGCAGACCUCUCAACCAUUGCAGACUCCGUGCUUAUCACCUAUGAAACAUGGGAGCUUUUGGGUGCCUUUUUUCACAUCCAAUUGGAUAUAAAGAACUAUUUGAAUGGAUACGUGCAGCAUAUACCAACAGGAUCUACAAAAAGAAACUUACGCUACCGCUUAACGGUUACUGACCUUGGCUUCUUUCCUCGCCCCCGC
rnacentral:lncRNA from 1 species